rnacentral:rRNA from 1 species
UACAGAGGUCCCGAGCGUUGUUCGGAUUUAUUGGGCGUAAAGGGUGCGUAGGCGGCGGAGUAAGUUGGGUGUGAAAGCCCGGGGCUCAACCCCGGGAGGCGGAUGGAUACUGUCAGGCUCGAGUCCGGAAGAGGCAAGUGGAAUUCCCGGUGUAGCGGUGAAAUGCGCAGAUAUCGGGAGGAACACCAAUGGCGAAGGCAGCUUGCUGGGACGGUACUGACGCUGAGACGCGAAAGCGUGGGGAGCAAACAGG